rnacentral:rRNA from 1 species
UCUCUCCUAGGGACGCAGCAGUGGGGGAUAUUGCACAAUGGGGGAAACCCUGAUGCAGCGACGCCGCGUGAAGGAAGAAGUAUUUCGGUAUGUAAACUUCUAUCAGCAGGGAAGAAAAUGACGGUACCUGAAGAAGAAGCCCCGGCUAACUACGUGCCAGCAGCCGCGGUAAUACGUAGGGGGCAAGCGUUAUCCGGAUUUACUGGGUGUAAAGGGGGCGCAGACGGCGAUGCAAGCCAGGAGUGAAAGCCCGGGGCCCAACCCCGGGACUGCUCUUGGAACUGCGUGGCUGGAGUGCAGGAGGG